GACAGAAAGUAAUAAUAACAGGCAAACCUUGAACAUAUAACAGAGAACAAGUAAGGACUUCUACACAGUGCUGCAGUGAAAUUUUGAAACCUCCCAAUAGUCAAGAUAUUUCUCACGAUGUAAAUAACAUUUACUGAAAUUUACAAAAGCAUUGAAAAACAAAUAAAAUUCAAAAAUAAAUUUCAGAGUCACGUUUUUAGAAAAUGACCGAUGGUACUAAAACAUAUGAAGCUUUCCUCCAACAGACUAGUAGAAAAAUUAUUCAGCAAGUCGGGAUUUUAUAGAGAGCCUCAUUUGUCCUUAAUGGCAUCAAAUUUUUCUGGUAUCCCCCCCCCAAAAAAAAAUUUGGAGGCCUUUUCAAAUUCUAAUUUCUCUGUGGGGAAAAAAAACCCUUACUCUUUUUCAGUUCUUCAUUUGCUUUCUUUAAAUACCACAGAAAGAUGUUCUCUGUUUGAAUAUUUCACUUAAGUCACAAAUGUUACUUAUAGAACUUCUAAAUGAUUUGAUGUGUAAACCCCUCCAUACUAUGUAGGGUUGAAGAGCUCCGAUUUCAACUGUAGGCUGUAGAUGAAAAUCACAGAGCAUUGCUCUGAUACUUCGUCACCAAUGAGCAGACAUGAUGGAAUGCAUUUCCUCUGGGUGGACGACCACCAGGCUGGUGGGAUGAAGAAAUUUAUGAUGAGUGUGAGGAGGAGGAGCAUGAGGGAGCUCUAGGGGGAUGGGGUGCCAGCUUUCGCUGUUGAGCAAAGACAUCUGGAAGCAUUUAUGUCUGCACAACCACAGAGAGCGGGGUGCAGGCCCAAGAGUUACAUCACUCGGUUCCUCAUGAUCCCCCGCCCUCGCGACACAUACACACUCGCAAAAAAAAAAAAAAAAACAGGGGUUAAGUCUUUAACUGCACGUGCAAAGACAAACAAACAGAUAAGCCUGACUAAAGCGAACAAAUACAUAAAACUGAACUUUGGGCGUGUGCAUAACAACGCACUUGCACAGAUACACCCAAUUCCUAAAACAUUUAGGCUGACUCAUGUAAACAAGUGCCUACACACAUGCACACUUGUACACACAAUCACCCCCCUCCCUCUGCUCUGGCCCCCGUAACCCAGUACGAUUUCCUGCAAAUUCCAAAGUCAGAUCCCGGCUGGAACAUUUCAGCCCGCCUGCCACGUCAGUUUGCCUCCACCAUCGUACCGCUCCUUUCUCUUCGACUUUUCACAAAAGGCUACCAACUCUUUAGGUGGGCUUUUCCCCCCGCUUUUUAAAACAAAAUCUUGGUGGAAGAAUGGAUACAACUGAGGACUAAGGGCGAUCAAGUGGUUGGAGCCUGCAGACGUAAUGACCUCUGGGUCCUUCCUCCCAUCGGAGUCCUUCUCACCCCUCAACCCCCACCUCGCCUGCCCAGUGUUCAGACUACCUGUUCAUCAGGCUGCAGCUGAACAGUAGUCUGCACAUUGGUUAGGCUAGGCUGGGAAAUGACACCAAAUCCUCAUUUGGGAUAGUUUAUAUUAGCAGCAGUUUCUUAACUGCUGCAACUCUUCUCACCUCCUCAUUUUUGUACCAGGACAGGGACUCAGCAGUCAGGACAAACCAGUAUUCCUUGGAGCCUCCUUUCAUGAUGCUGAUGUUGAUGGUUAGCCAGCCUUUCCUGAUCACCUAUAUAGUCAGGAGAAUAUGACGGAGAAGGGUUGUAGGGAGAGAGGGGUACCAGGAGGAUGGAGGGAAAGCUUUAACAAUGAGGUUCAUGCACUGGUGAAAUGUGGACCCCAUAAAGUGCCAUUAAUUAUGGGAUUUAACAACAAUAAAACCUUACCCACUUACCUGUUGGGCCUUGGUA